AGGCAUAUGGAAGUUCCCAGGCUAGGGAUGGAAUCUGAGCGGCAGCUGCUGGCCUCCACCACAGCUCAUAGCAACUCAGGAUUGUUUCAUCCACUGAGUGGGGCCAGGGAUGGAACCCACAUCCUCAUGGAUACUAGUUGGGCUCCUUUCUGCUGAGCCAUAACAGGGAACUCCCUCAACUGAACUAUUUCUAAGGCGAUUGUAACUAUAACAUUUUCUCUACCCCUCCCCCACACUUAAUCGUGUUGUUUAAAAAAAAAAAAGGUUAGAAAAUAGAUAUGGAAAAAAUUCACCCUAUACCCACAGAUAACAACUGUUCACAUCCUGAAAUAUUCCUUCUAGACGCUUUUUCUCUCUCUAUGUGUGUGUACACAGUUGACCCUUGCACAACAGGGUUGGCGACACUGACCUCCUGUGCAGCUGAAAAUCCUCAUACUGCUCUCUCUAACUCAAAAACAAAGGAAUUUAUAAAAGACUCACCCAAGAGCAGAAAGCCGAAACAGUUUGGGUAGAGUCGGCACCUAAACCCUAGUUCUUUGGAUUCCACAGACCGUGAUCUUUAAUGGAACACAAACUUUUACCCACAUUUAGUUAAUUUAAAGAUCUAUAAAAUGAAAAAAUAGAUACUAAUGUUUAUUGGAAAAAAAUCUGUGUAUGGAUGAACUCUCGUGUAAAUGGACUUUCAAAGUUCAAACUUGUAUUGUUCGAAGGUCAACUCUAUAUAUUAAACUACUGACAUUUUGAGUAGGAUAAUUUUUUGUUGUGAGGCUGGACACUGUAAGAUAGAUGUUUAGCAGCAUCGGUGGCCUCCACAUGUAUGAUAACCUGAUAUGUUUGUUGGCAUUGCCCAAUGUCCCCUGAGGGGCAACAUCACCCUGAUUUGAAAUUACUAAUUACACACACAAACACACACCCAUUUGCAAAAAGGAGUCCUAUUGCAAAUACAGCCUUAUCUUUUUCUUUUUAAAAAAUUUACUAUGCCAUGAAUUCAUCCCAUGUCAACUAUUAGAAAUUUAUGGUACUAUUUGCAAUGGCUGCAGAGCUGUCCGUCAGUUGUCUACAUGUGAAGUAAUUUCUAUCACCUCCCUCCAUUACUAGAUCAUGUGUAUAAAACUGAAAUUAUAUACAUAUAUACAAUGAUUACUCAGCCCUAAAAAAAAAAAAAAAGUAAAGCCAUUUGCAGCAACAUGGAUGGACCUAGAGAUCAUCACACUAAGUGAAGUUAGACUGUGACUGAAAGACAAACACCAUAUGAUAUCACUUAUAUAUGGAAUCUUAAAAAAGGAUGCCAAUGAACCUUUACUUGCAGAACAGAAACAGACUCACAGACUUUGAAAAACUUAUGGUUAUCAAAGGGGACAGAUGAGGGGGAGGGAGGGAUGGACUAGGGGUCUGGGAUUGGCAUAGGCACACUGAGGUCUAUGGAAUGAUUGGCCAGUGGGGACCUGCUGUAUAGCCCAAGAAACUCUACCUAGUAUUCUGUGACCAUCUAUGUGGGGAAAGAAUCUGAAAGAGAAUGGAUGUGUGUAUGUGUAUAACUGAAUCACUUUAUUGUACAGCAGAAAUUAUCACAACCUUGUAAAUCAGCUAUGCUUCAACACCAAAUUACUUCACCUCUUUAAACCUCCACUUCCUCAUUUGGAGAAUGGGGAUGUGCUGUGAGAAUGAAUUACUAGAACGGGAACCACUGCCCUUGACAGAGGACCAGAGCUGUGGCUCAAGUCCUUCCUACAAUCACCAGGUCCUGGUUUUUCAGUGGCUUUUAGAGGCCAUUGCUCAUAUGGAGGCAAAUGCACAUUAGUAAAUUGCUUUCAUCAAAGGAGUUUUGGGUGGUUUCCGAAUUUCCACGCUCUGAAAUGACCCUGCCAUUAACAUAAUCAUAGAAAGUUUCCUCUGAUGUUUUGAGAAGCCCAUGAAAGGGAAGACGCUAGCCCACUUGUGCUUACCAAGGACUAGUGAGGCAAAAGCUUAUCAUUUUUUGUAUGGCCCAGUUCUAGAAACACUAGUAAAUAUGAGGCCCUGCUCACCUUCUCUGUCCCCUUGGGUACUGGUUACCUGGCCCUGAGUCAAGAUGCCAAGAUCCUAGGAGCAUGUCUCCUAGGCUAAAUGCUAGAUGCUUUUUUUCUGCUUUUAUGUGAAGGUCAAGCCCCCUUCAUCUUGCCUUGAGACCACCCCAGGAUGGUUCUUCAAAUGAUGUGAGAUUUCCCUUCUUUUCCAUUUGUUCUUAAGUUAUGGGAGUACGAUAUUUGAUGUAUACAACGUGUGUGUGUGAGUGUGUGUGUGUGAUAGAGAGAGUGAGAGAGAGAGGCAUUUGUACUGUUUAAAGAGCAAUAACAAAAUAAAUACCUGUGCAUCUAGCACCCAGAUCAAGAAAUAGAACAUUUGAGGGGCAACAGAAUGUUGCGCUUAUACAGGUACCUGCCCCUCCCACAGGGAGCUUUCCUGGGGUGGGGGUGGGGAGUGGAAGGAGAGGGGCCUCUGGGAACAGUGGAGUCAAUAGCACAGACCCCACUGGGUUCUGCCCCCAUGCCUCUGCAGCUCCGUGGCCUUGGGGGUUAGCCAGCCCUGAGAGCGUCCAUCCUUCAUUUUUGGAAUGGAAUACUGUUUUGCAGGAUAAAUGAAAUGCUCCUUUUGAUAAACCCUAAGUCUGGUGCCUGGCAUCCAAGGAGAUGCCAAAGCACAGAAGCUGUUGUUUUCAUCUUGGGGGAGCGUUUCAGGACAAGGAAUUCAGAAUUGAGAUACUGACCUGACUUUGCCUGCCCUGAGCCAUGGGAUUCCAGUCAGGGCAAGUCCUGGGGCUCAGCUUCCUCGGGUCGGGGGUAAAGACAGCAGCUUCACUGGAAACCUUCACACCUCCUUUCUCUCCAGCCGUGGCCCUUUGGAACUGUACUAUCAUUAAGUCAAGGAAAAAUGGGUAAUAAUGAAGCAAGAACAAAGCAAAACAAAACAAAUAGAGACUGUAGUCUCCUUUGCUGGGAACUGUGUCCAUGUAGAAAAGGAACUGGGAGGGACAGAACCUCAUGUUCCCCUGAGGGCUCAGUGGAUCCUUAGCUAGAUCUUAGAAAAAGAUGUGACUGGCCAGAGGUCACAUGACCAGAAGGUCAAACUCUGGUUACUAAUGAUGAUAUUUUAAGCACCUCUGGAGGCCUUGUGUUUGAGAAAUCCAUUAAUACUGUUUAAUGUGGUGAUGACACAUGUGGGAAUCCUUGCACUAGUGCCUGGGUCUGUGAUCUUUUAGUAAUAUCCUACCUCCUGCUCUUCCACCUACUUCCUCUCAGCUCACACCGUGGUCCUUUGCAUCCUCUGGGUCUUCCAAGGGCUGUUUGGUUUCUCGAUGUUGGAGUUCAGGUGGUUAAGUGUGCCUCUCCCUCGGUGGGAUGGAAUUCUCUUUCUGCUGUGGCUCUCUGAGUUUGUCCAUCCUCUUCUGUCAUAACCUUGGGCUCUCACUCACCUAUGGGCUGUAGACUUCUUUGCUCUCACUCUUGUGUGUGUGUGUGUGUGUGUGUGUCUUUCGUCUUUUCAGGGCCGCACCUACAGCAUAUGGAGGUUCCCAGGCUAGGGGUCUAAUUGGAGCUACAGCUGCCAGCCUACACCAGAGCCACAGCAACACCAAUCCAAGCCGCAUCUUCAACCUACACCACAGCUCACGGCAAUUCAGGAUCCUUAACCUAGUGAGUGAGGCCAGGGAUCGAACCCGCAACCUCACGGUUCCUAGUCAGGUUUGUUUCUGCUGUGCCACAACCGGAACUCCUGCUCACUCUUGAUUACCCAGCUUUCCUAAGGUGAACUGGCUUUCAGAGGAAAAUGACUCCCAGGUGUAGUAGAGGUCUGCCAGUGGCCAAAAAAAAAAAAAAA
rnacentral:lncRNA from 1 species